CAAUGCCCUUUCCUGUGACCACUAUCAAGAACUGCUCAGGAUUCCUGCCAGCCUGUUAGCCUUUAUCGUUCAGUCAUUUUAGACCUCAAAAAGAACAUUCCAUCAAGGGAUCAGGUUCUAUCAUCUCACUGGAAUGCAAUUUAAGACAUCAUCUCCAGAAAACUGUGCUAGUUGGCAUCCAGCAGUGCCCAAGUAUUAUUUAACCCACUAGAACCUGUGACUGCAUCAGCUUUAUAUCCUGGACCUCAGCCUGGAACAAAGGAGAGCUACACUUGGAUACUAAACACAAGUGGUCUGGAUAGAUUAUGCUGGGAAAAGAAGCCUGGAGCAGGCAGUACAGUGGGAGAACAAGGAGAGAAUGGAGUUGCAGCAGACUGCUCAGGAAUUGUACAUCACCAGUAGCUUCUGUCUCAGCUAAGUGUGGGAGACUGAUACUGAUGAGCCAUUAACAAUGGUGGAGAUUCUGAAUCACUGAAGCACUUGAUAAAAGAAAUGUCGUGGGUGAUGUGAAAAUCUACAUAUGCCCAUGAGAGUAUAUUGAGUUUACAGAAGUGCUUGCCUUGGUGAUCCAAAAAAGGCAGGAUCCGGCCGGGGGCAAGGUGAUUAUUCUGUCUGAUGAGGAGAAUAAGAGCCAGUUUGUGGUAUUGACAGAAGAAUGAAAGUAAAGUCUUGAAAGAUGGGAAGAUCAGGAGCAGUCUGGAGUCAUGGUAUAUGAAUGAACUAGUGAGAGUGGGCACAAAGUCUGAAGAUCUUUGUAGUGCAGCUAAUGUCUAAGGGAGAAUAUACCUACCCUAGAAGAGACAUUAAACAACCAGGCCCCCAAAAGAUGAACUCCAAUCUGCUGCCCCUAAACGCAUUCUCCACUGUCUGGAAGAUGUGCAAAGGCAACGGCACAGCGUUCUCCAUCUCAAAUCCUUCAAAGUGCUGUCAGAAUAAAAGAAUCCCCACCAAAAGCCCCAGGGAAAUCUAUCUGUCUGUAUGGUAUGGUAAUGACUGAGGUUAUUCCAGAUAGGAUUCUGGGAGAAACUCAGCUAUUGAAAUCUAAUGAAUGGAACUGAGAAUUUCUUGUUAUAAUACUGUUUGUUUGAUUGAAUAUAUCCUUGCAUAUAGGAAGACAUAAAAAUAAAUAAUAAAAGCAAGAUAUUAUUUGAA
rnacentral:lncRNA from 1 species